rnacentral:lncRNA from 1 species
UUGUGGGGCUUCAGUUGGAACUAGAGACAUCCUCAGACUUUUUAGAAUAAGUGUACUGAGCCACUCCCUAGGACAAGGAGCAUCUCUAGAAGUUGUGCUAUAUGGAGAUCCCAUCAUUGAAGGAGCUCUUGAUCGAGCAAGCUCUAUAUGAUGCCAAAAUUAGCUCGAUCAGUCCUUGGGGUAUUGUUGGUCUCCUUAACUUGAAUUUUUGCUUUAGCUUUAUUCUUAUGUUUUAC